CUACGGGACGCAGCAGUGGGGAAUAUUGGGCAAUGGGCGCAAGCCUGACCCAGCAACGCCGCGUGAGGGAAGAAGGUUUUCGGAUUGUAAACCUCUGUCCCCCCUGACGAAACAAAUGACGGUAAGGGGGGAGGAAGCUCCGGCUAACUACGUGCCGGCAGCCGCGGUAUACGUAGGGAGCGAGCGUUGUCCGGAAUUACUGGGCGUAAAGGGUGCGUAGGCGGCAUAUUAAGUCAGGUGUGAAAUUUUCGGGCUCAACCCGGAACCUGCAUUUGAAACUGAUAAGCUUGAGUGUGAGAGAGGUAAGUGGAAUUCCUAGUGUAGCGGUGAAAUGCGUAGAUAUUAGGAGGAACACCAGUGGCGAAGGCGACUUACUGGCUCAUAACUGACGCUGAGGCACGAAAGCGUGGGGAGCAAACAGGAUUAGAUACCCCCGUAGUC
rnacentral:rRNA from 1 species